rnacentral:rRNA from 1 species
CCUACGGGUGGCAGCAGUGAGGAAUAUUGGUCAAUGGGCGCGAGCCUGAACCAGCCAAGUAGCGUGAAGGAUGACUGCCCUAUGGGUUGUAAACUUCUUUUAUAAAGGAAUAAAGUGAGGCACGCGUGUCUUUUUGUAGGUCAUUUAUGAAUAAGGAUCGGCUAACUCCGUGCCAGCAGCCGCGGUAAUACGGAGGCUCCGAGCGUUAUCCGGAUUUAUUGGGUUUAAAGGGAGCGUAGGUGGUUUGUUAAGUUAGUGGUGAAAGUAUGCGGCUCAACUGUAAAAUUGCAAUUGAUAAUGGCAGCCUUGAGAACAGUUGAGGUAGGCGGAAUUCAUGGUGUAGCGGUGAAAUGCUUAGAGAUCACGAAGAACUCCGAUUGCGAAGGCAGCUUACUAAGCUGCCACUGACAUUGAUGCUCGAAAGUGUGGGUAUCAAACAGGAUUAGAUACCCCUGUAGUC